AUGGCAUUCAUAGCACCCGUUCCUCCUAUAUUUACAAAAAUAACUCUGUGAGGCAGAAUGGGCUGCGAGACAAAAUGACUGAACCAAAGACACCCAGGGAGCUUCUAGGCCGAGGUUGGCUAGAAACGCGUCCAGCACUCAGUUCCUACGCCACACUGGGUGUGCCAAGGAAUACACAUCCCUGAAUGUGGCAAGGUAGCAAUAACAUUUAGAUCCCAUCGAUUUCUGGAUGUUUUGUAGUACAUGCAAGAUUGGCAUUAAACUGCUUAAAACUGGUUGUGGGUGAAAUAAAUUCAGCAUCACAGACUCAAGGGGGAAUGAUGGAAUCGUCCUGGCAUUUUUGUGUCAAAGUAAAGGAAGAGGCCUUUGAGAGCUGUGCAUUCCUCAUGUAGCUAGAGUUUCUUAAAGGAGACAAACAGCAGCAGUGUUCAUUUUUCUGCUGGAGCGAGAGUGUGCCCCACCUUUUCCACAUUGAUGGGAGAUGGUUGUAUUGACCCUGGAACUACUAGAAUACCUACUGGUAAGGGAUCCUCUUUCCUCGUCUCUGUCACUAACAAUACAGCUACUCUUCCCUAUUGUUUUGUUCACAGAAUGGUUUACCACAAAAAUUGGUAAAGAGAUAAAGAGGAGACUUUAACCACUGGGAAGUUGCGCUGUCCUGGAAAUGGGAGGCAACUACUCUUCUGUCAUUCUGAAAAUGAAAUAAUCCAAUAGCUGAACGAAGAGCAGAAGGUCUGAUACACAAAAGCAGCGACUGCCUGGACAAGUCCCUGCAGUUUUCAUGGCAAG